rnacentral:rRNA from 1 species
AUUGAACGCUGGCGGCAGGCCUAACAAAUGAAAGUCGAGCGGAUGAAGGGAGCUUGCUCCUGUAUCCAGUGGCGGAUGGGGGAGUAAUGCCUAGGAAAUUGCAAGGUAGUGGGGGAUAACGUACGGCAACGGGAGCUAUAACCGCAUACGUCAUACGGGCUACAGUGGAGGGUCUUCGGACCUCACGCUAUCAGCUGAGGCUAGGUCGGAUUAGCUAGUUGGUGGGGUAAAGGCCCACCAAGGCGACGAUCCGUAGCUGGUCUGAGAGGAUGAUCAGCCACACUGGAACUGAGACACGGUCCAGACUCCUACGGGAGGCAGCAGUGGGGAAUAUUGGACAAUGGGCGCAAGCCUGAUCCAGCCAUACCGCGUGGGUGAAGAAGGCCUUCGGGUUGUAAAGCCCUUUUGUUGGGAAAGAAAAGCAGCAGGUUAAUACCCCGCUGUUCUGACGGUACCCAAAGAAUAAGCACCGGCUAACUUCGUG